AUUGAACGCUGGCGGCAUGCCUUACACAUGCAAGUCGAACGGCAGCACGGGAGCAAUCCUGGUGGCGAGUGGCGAACGGGUGAGUAAUAUAUCGGAACGUGCCCAGUCGUGGGGGAUAACGUAGCGAAAGCUACGCUAAUACCGCAUACGAUCUAUGGAUGAAAGCGGGGGAUCGCAAGACCUCGCGCGAUUGGAGCGGCCGAUAUCAGAUUAGGUAGUUGGUGAGGUAAAGGCUCACCAAGCCGACGAUCUGUAGCUGGUCUGAGAGGACGACCAGCCACACUGGGACUGAGACACGGCCCAGACUCCUACGGGAGGCAGCAGUGGGGGAAUUUUUGGGACAAUAGGGCGCAAGCCUGAUCCAGCAAUGCCGCGUGCA
rnacentral:rRNA from 1 species